UACGUAGGGUGCAAGCGUUAAUCGGAAUUACUGGGCGUAAAGCGUGCGCAGGCGGCUUUGCAAGACAGAUGUGAAAUCCCCGGGCUCAACCUGGGAACUGCAUUUGUGACUGCAUGGCUAGAGUUUGGCAGAGGGGGGUAGAAUUCCACGUGUAGCAGUGAAAUGCGUAGAUAUGUGGAGGAACACCGAUGGCGAAGGCAGCCCCCUGGGUCAAGACUGACGCUCAUGCACGAAAGCGUGGGGAGCAAACAGG
rnacentral:rRNA from 1 species